rnacentral:rRNA from 1 species
UACAGAGGGUGCAAGCGUUGUCCGGAAUCACUGGGCGUAAAGGGCGCGUAGGCGGCCUUCUAAGUCGAACGUGAAAUCCCCGGGCUCAACCCGGGAACUGCGUCCGAUACUGGAAGGCUUGAAUCCGGGAGAGGGAUGUGGAAUUCCAGGUGUAGCGGUGAAAUGCGUAGAUAUCUGGAGGAACACCGGUGGCGAAGGCGGCAUCCUGGACCGGUAUUGACGCUGAGGCGCGAAAGCCAGGGGAGCAAACGGG